AACGCUGGCGGCGUGCCUAAUACAUGCAAGUCGAGCGAGCAGAACCAGCAGAUUUACUUCGGUAAUGACGCUGGGGACGCGAGCGGCGGAUGGGUGAGUAACACGUGGGGAACCUGCCCCAUAGUCUGGGAUACCACUUGGAAACAGGUGCUAAUACCGGAUAAGAAAGCAGAUCGCAUGAUCAGCUUAUAAAAGGCGGCGUAAGCUGUCGCUAUGGGAUGGCCCCGCGGUGCAUUAGCUAGUUGGUAAGGUAACGGCUUACCAAGGCAAUGAUGCAUAGCCGAGUUGAGAGACUGAUCGGCCACAUUGGGACUGAGACACGGCCCAAACUCCUACGGGAGGCAGCAGUAGGGAAUCUUCCACAAUGGACGCAAGUCUGAUGGAGCAACGCCGCGUGAGUGAAGAAGGUUUUCGGAUCGUAAAGCUCUGUUGUUGGUGAAGAAGGAUAGAGGUAGUAACUGGCCUUUAUUUGACGGUAAUCAACCAGAAAGUCACGGCUAACUA
rnacentral:rRNA from 1 species